UGCCCAGUGUUGAUAUCAUCCUGGUUCCUUGUGCAUUCUGAGGCUGGGGGUGACAACAUGACUUCCUUUGGGACAGGCUAGUUGGACCAUUGCUUAAGGCUUGAGGGCA